UGGGCAAUUCACCGGUGCCAAGCAUAGUGC
rnacentral:piRNA from 1 species